CACAACUUUAUCUCAACUCGUCAGGUCAACUGGUCGACUGAUUUUUGGCAGUUAAAACUGAAGCUCUUUCUCUCUUUGUGUUCUCAUCAAACAAGAAACAAGCAAUGUCCUCAAAGCGCCCAGCUUGCUUUUCCCAGCUAGAAGAAUACGCUAAAAAGACACAGCCCGGCGAGGUCCUCACCACCACGCAUGGCAAUCCAAUCGAUUUCAAGACAGCCAUCCAGACCUUUGGCCCUCGGGGGCCUAUGCUAAUGCAAGAUGGUGUCUAUUUGGACGAGAUGGCUCAUUUUGACAGAGAGAGGAUACCGGAGAGAGUGGUACACGCCAAAGGAGCAGGUGCUUAUGGUGUAUUUGAAGUGACGCACGACAUCACAAAGUAUUGUUGUGCCAAGCUAUUCUCAGAAGUAGGGAAGAAGACAGAUUUGUUUAUCCGUUUCUCUACAGUUGGUGGAGAGAGUGGCAGUGCUGAUACUGCAAGGGAUCCUCGUGGCUUUGCCGUAAAGUUUUACACCGAAGAUGGAAACUGGGAUUUAGUUGGUAACAACACACCGAUAUUCUUCAUCAGGGAUCCUUUCCUUUUCCCAAGCUUCAUUCACACUCAGAAGCGUAAUCCUGUUACUCAUCUUAAGGAUCCUGACAUGUUUUGGGAUUUCAUCAGUCUGAGGCCCGAGACCACUCAUCAGGUUUCAUUCCUCUUCUCUGAUCGUGGUAUCCCUGAUGGCUAUCGUCACAUGAAUGGCUAUGGCUCUCACACUUUUAAACUUGUAAAUAGCAAAGGAGAGCCAGUCUAUUGCAAGUUCCAUUACAAAACCGAUCAAGGUAUAAAGAACAUGCCUGUUGGCAAGGCUGCUGAACUUGCUGGAACAAACCCUGACUAUUCCAUUCAGGAUCUUUAUGAGGCAAUCGCCACUGGAAACUUUCCAUCAUGGACUCUCUCAAUUCAAGUGAUGACGUACGAACAAGCAGAGAAGUGCAGCUUCAAUCCUUUUGACUUGACAAAAGUGUGGCCACAUGCUGAUUACCCCUUGAUCCCUGUUGGUAAGAUAACGCUGAACAGAAAUCCUUCCAAUUACUUCUUUGAUGUUGAGCAGUCUGCAUUCUCUCCUGCUCACAUGCCACCAGGCAUUGAAGCAUCGCCCGAUAAAAUGUUGCAGGGUCGUCUGUUUUCUUACGAUGAUACUCAUUUUCACCGUCUUGGUCCAAACUUUCAAAUGAUCCCCGUCAACUGUCCUUACGCUGGAAAGCCUCGUAACUAUGUUCGUGAUGGGCCUAUGUGCGUUGAUGGAAACCAAGGUGGAGCUCCCAACUAUUAUCCCAACAGUUUCAAUGGGCCAAAGGAUAUGGGAAAACAUGACGUUACAAUUUUCCCUGGACCUGCUGGUGAUGUGAAGCGCUAUAAUGCUGCAGAUGAUGACAAUUUCUCUCAAGUUGGUAUCUUUUACAAUAAAGUACUCAAUGAGGAGGAGAGGACACGUCUUGCUCAAAACAUUGCUGGUCAUAUGAAGAAUGCCAGUCCAAAGAUUCAGGAGCGUGCUGUGAGUAUAGCAACCCCCCCUCUCUCUCUCUCUUUUUACCCUCUCUUUCUCUCUCCUUUCUUAGAUUGCCAACUUCUCUAAGGCUGAUCCUGAUUAUGGCGCUCGCAUUAAGAAGUACAUCUCUCAAUAAAACUGCUACAUUGAAGAUCUCUGCUGAAUUGAAUUGAACUACAAUAAAGAACACUAACACUUUAUUAUUAUUAUGUUUUUUGUUUGUGUGCUUGUCUUGCAAUCUUGCUGCACCUUUACUUGUUAAUUUAGCUUUCAGAUUUUCUUUUUGGUAGAUAUAAAA